CUACGGGCGGCUCCAGUGGGGAAUAUUGCACAAUGGGGGGAACCCUGAUGCAGCAACGCCGCGUGGAGGAUGACACAUUUCGGUGCGUAAACUCCUUUUAUAUAAGAAGAUAAUGACGGUAUUAUAUGAAUAAGCACCGGCUAACUCCGUGCCAGCAGCCGCGGUAAUACGGGGGGUGCAAGCGUUACUCGGAAUCACUGGGCGUAAAGAGCAUGUAGGCUGGUUAGUAAGUUGGAAGUGAAAUCCUAUGGCUUAACCAUAGAACUGCUUCCAAAACUACUAACCUAGAAUAUGGGAGAGGUAGAUGGAAUUUCUGGUGUAGGGGUAAAAUCCGUAGAGAUCAGAAGGAAUACCGAUUGCGAAGGCGAUCUACUGGAACAUUAUUGACGCUCAGAUGCGAAAGCGUGGUGAGCAAACAGGAUUAGAUACCCGUGUAGUC
rnacentral:rRNA from 1 species